rnacentral:rRNA from 1 species
UACGAAGGGGGCUAGCGUUGCUCGGAAUCACUGGGCGUAAAGCGCACGUAGGCGGAUCGUUAAGUCGGGGGUGAAAUCCUGGAGCUCAACUCCAGAACUGCCUUCGAUACUGGCGAUCUUGAGUUCGGGAGAGGUGAGUGGAACUGCGAGUGUAGAGGUGAAAUGCGUAGAUAUCUGGAGGAACACCGGUGGCGAAGGCGGAUCUCUGGGCCUUACCUGACGCUGAGGCGCGAAAGCUAGGGGAGCGAACAGG